rnacentral:lncRNA from 10 species
CCCGGACCUGCUGAGCUCGGCUCCUGCUCGUCAGGCUUGCGCCGAGCCGCCGCUCACUGGCUCCCGCGCCCCGCCCGGCCCCGCCCGGCCCGGCCCAGCCCGGCCCCGCGCCCGCUCAGCUCCACUCGCCGCAGCUGGAACGACUCGCGGGGCUCCGGGUACCGCGGUCUCCCCGCCACUGCCCGAGUGCGCCGCCCGGACCAAUGGCGGGGCGCGGCGAGCCCUUAAGCCUGUACACCCAAUGAGGAAUCGCUGGUUAGAGGCCGCGUGAAGGACACCCUGACCAAGCUGGGUCCUGCCCAUGCCGGUAGAUCGUCCAUGGCUUCCCUUGGGGGCUGCCACCCACUGUAAACCUGAGCAAGUUCCUCUCCUGUUCCGAAGCCUGCCCUGGCAAAGCCCCAGUACAUAUUCCAAUCCUGCUCUAGGUCAGUAUUCCCACUGCACCUGUCUACCCCUCGCCCGCCCCCCGGGUCACCACGCAGGACCCCUUGCACGCUCCCCCCACCACCUUUGCUAUGCAACUCCUCCCCUUUAUCUGCUAGGGAGACUCCUAUGCAUUCAUCAAGGUCCAGCUCAAAUCUGGCCACCCUCAGUGGCUUUUCCUGACGCUCUCAGCAGAACCAAACCUCCAGCUUUGUUAUGUGUUGGUGUUGCAGUACACAGUGAGUGAGUUCUGUUUGUUUUCCAGGGCGGCAAUGAAAGGGUAGUCAUCAGGGACACAUAGGCUCGGGAAACCAACCCCCCUGGGUUCAGAGUGGGCUCGUUGCUAGCUGUGUGCUCCACUGUCUGUGCCUUCAUAUCUAUGGUGCGGGAGUUAAAGGAAUCAAUAGGUGGAAGGUGCAUGUACCAGUGCCUGGCACUGAUGUACAUUCAAUCAAAGUUAGCUACCGUUGCCAGCUUUGCCAAAACGGGGUACUUGGGGGCGAGGAGGAGUGGCUGGAGGCUGGGGUUGGGGUGGCUUCUGGGUUUCUGGUGCUGUUUUAAUCUCGACCUGGGCACUGGUUUUAGUUUGUGAAAAAUCAUUGAGUUGCAUACUUAGAAUAUGUGCACUUUUCCAUAUGUCCAUCAUACAUUAAUAAAAAGUGUUUCUAGAAGUUAGUUGUUUUUCACU